GGCCUUUUUUUGAAAUGGUUCCUGACUCUGAGACCAAUGAUGGCAAGCCACGAGCCAAGUGCAAGAUGUGUGGAGUUACUUACAUGGCAACAAGCAAAUAUGGAACCGGCAAUAUGAAGCGUCACAUUGACACAUGCCCUAGGAGAAGUUCACGAGAUAUUAGUCAGAUGAUGUUAUCACAAAAUAGUGGAAAUAUUUCGUGCUCCCACAAUGACAUGUUUUACCACGACUUCUGAUAGCACAGUUACUAGAGAGGAAAGUCAGUCUUCAUAUGAUAAUUUUUUAUUGGAGGAAUUUGAUACAUUUAGACCUGAUGAACUUUCUGGCUAUAUGAAAAAAAGUCAAUUGGAUCUUUACUUGGAUGAACCUAGGGCAGAAAGAAAUGUAAAUAUUAAUAUUCUUUCCUUUUGGAAAGGAAAUGAAUUUCGUUAUCCUGAUCUUGUUCGUAUGGCUCGUGACAUUUUGAGUGUUCUAGUUUCUACAGUUGCAUCUGAAUCUACUUUUAA